rnacentral:rRNA from 1 species
AAUCAACGCUGGCGGCGUGCCUAACACAUGCAAGUCGAACGAGAAAGGGGAGCAAUCCCUGAGUACAGUGGCGACCGGGUGAGUAACACGUGACUACCUACCCUUGAGUGGGGGAUAACCUCGGGAAACCGAGGCUAACACCGCAUAAUAUCGCAAGAUCAAAGGAGCAAUCCGCUCUUGGAGGGGGUCGCGGCUGAUUAGCUAGUUGGUAGGGUAAUGGCCUACCAAGGCGAAGANCGGUAUCCGGCCUGAGAGGGCGCACGGACACACUGGAACUGAAACACGGUCCAGACUCCUACGGGAGGCAGCAGUGGGGAAUUUUGCGCAAGUGGGGGAAACCCUGACGCAGCAACGCCGCGUGGAGGAUGAAGCUCCUUGGAGU